UACGUAGGGGGCGAGCGUUAUCCGGAAUUACUGGGCGUAAAGCGCACGCAGGCGGUUCGCCAAGUUUGGAGUGACAGUUGUCGGCUCAACCGACAAAGGACUUCAAAAACUGGUGAACUUGAGGACGAGAGAGGAGCAUGGAACUCCAGGUGUAGUAGUGAAAUGCGUAGAUAUCUGGAAGAACACCAAUGGCGAAGGCAAUGUUCUGGCUCGUUUCUGACGCUCAGAUGCGAAAGCCAGGGGAGCGAACGGG
rnacentral:rRNA from 1 species